rnacentral:snRNA from 1 species
AUCGCUUCUCGGCCUUUUGGCUAAGAUCAAAGUGUAGUAUCCCUAUCCCCUGUGUGCCUUGGCAGUCUCAGCUAUUAGACAAGAAAGUUAACCCCGUCAUUCCCUAAUCGAUUUUUGCAUAUUUUGAUUUAAAAACAUAUUUAUGAACAACCAUAGAGGGGAGGGACCCUUU